ACUAAGCGUACACGGUGGAUGCCCUGGCAGUCAGAGGCGAUGAAGGACGUGCUAAUCUGCGAUAAGCGUCGGUAAGGUGAUAUGAACCGUUAUAACCGGCGAUUUCCGAAUGGGGAAACCCAGUGUGUUUCGACACACUAUCAUUAACUGAAUCCAUAGGUUAAUGAGGCGAACCGGGGGAACUGAAACAUCUAAGUACCCCGAGGAAAAGAAAUCAACCGAGAUUCCCCCAGUAGCGGCGAGCGAACGGGGAGGAGCCCAGAGCCUGAAUCAGUGUGUGUGUUAGUGGAAGCGUCUGGAAAGGCGCGCGAUACAGGGUGACAGCCCCGUACACAAAAAUGCACAUGCUGUGAGCUCGAUGAGUAGGGCGGGACACGUGGUAUCCUGUCUGAAUAUGGGGGGACCAUCCUCCAAGGCUAAAUACUCCUGACUGACCGAUAGUGAACCAGUACCGUGAGGGAAAGGCGAAAAGAACCCCGGCGAGGGGAGUGAAAAAGAACCUGAAACCGUGUACGUACAAGCAGUGGGAGCCUCUUUUAUGGGGUGACUGCGUACCUUUUGUAUAAUGGGUCAGCGACUUAUAUUCUGUAGCAAGGUUAACCGAAUAGGGGAGCCGAAGGGAAACCGAGUCUUAACUGGGCGUUAAGUUGCAGGGUAUAGACCCGAAACCCGGUGAUCUAGCCAUGGGCAGGUUGAAGGUUGGGUAACACUAACUGGAGGACCGAACCGACUAAUGUUGAAAAAUUAGCGGAUGACUUGUGGCUGGGGGUGAAAGGCCAAUCAAACCGGGAGAUAGCUGGUUCUCCCCGAAAGCUAUUUAGGUAGCGCCUCGUGAAUUCAUCUCCGGGGGUAGAGCACUGUUUCGGCAAGGGGGUCAUCCCGACUUACCAACCCGAUGCAAACUGCGAAUACCGGAGAAUGUUAUCACGGGAGACACACGGCGGGUGCUAACGUCCGUCGUGAAGAGGGAAACAACCCAGACCGCCAGCUAAGGUCCCAAAGUCAUGGUUAAGUGGGAAACGAUGUGGGAAGGCCCAGACAGCCAGGAUGUUGGCUUAGAAGCAGCCAUCAUUUAAAGAAAGCGUAAUAGCUCACUGGUCGAGUCGGCCUGCGCGGAAGAUGUAACGGGGCUAAACCAUGCACCGAAGCUGCGGCAGCGACACUAUGUGUUGUUGGGUAGGGGAGCGUUCUGUAAGCCUGUGAAGGUGUACUGUGAGGUAUGCUGGAGGUAUCAGAAGUGCGAAUGCUGACAUAAGUAACGAUAAAGCGGGUGAAAAGCCCGCUCGCCGGAAGACCAAGGGUUCCUGUCCAACGUUAAUCGGGGCAGGGUGAGUCGACCCCUAAGGCGAGGCCGAAAGGCGUAGUCGAUGGGAAACAGGUUAAUAUUCCUGUACUUGGUGUUACUGCGAAGGGGGGACGGAGAAGGCUAUGUUGGCCGGGCGACGGUUGUCCCGGUUUAAGCGUGUAGGCUGGUUUUCCAGGCAAAUCCGGAAAAUCAAGGCUGAGGCGUGAUGACGAGGCACUACGGUGCUGAAGCAACAAAUGCCCUGCUUCCAGGAAAAGCCUCUAAGCAUCAGGUAACAUCAAAUCGUACCCCAAACCGACACAGGUGGUCAGGUAGAGAAUACCAAGGCGCUUGAGAGAACUCGGGUGAAGGAACUAGGCAAAAUGGUGCCGUAACUUCGGGAGAAGGCACGCUGAUAUGUAGGUGAAGCGACUUGCUCGUGGAGCUGAAAUCAGUCGAAGAUACCAGCUGGCUGCAACUGUUUAUUAAAAACACAGCACUGUGCAAACACGAAAGUGGACGUAUACGGUGUGACGCCUGCCCGGUGCCGGAAGGUUAAUUGAUGGGGUCAGCGCAAGCGAAGCUCUUGAUCGAAGCCCCGGUAAACGGCGGCCGUAACUAUAACGGUCCUAAGGUAGCGAAAUUCCUUGUCGGGUAAGUUCCGACCUGCACGAAUGGCGUAAUGAUGGCCAGGCUGUCUCCACCCGAGACUCAGUGAAAUUGAACUCGCUGUGAAGAUGCAGUGUACCCGCGGCAAGACGGAAAGACCCCGUGAACCUUUACUAUAGCUUGACACUGAACAUUGAGCCUUGAUGUGUAGGAUAGGUGGGAGGCUUUGAAGUGUGGACGCCAGUCUGCAUGGAGCCGACCUUGAAAUACCACCCUUUAAUGUUUGAUGUUCUAACGUUGACCCGUGAUCCGGGUUGCGGACAGUGUCUGGUGGGUAGUUUGACUGGGGCGGUCUCCUCCUAAAGAGUAACGGAGGAGCACGAAGGUUGGCUAAUCCUGGUCGGACAUCAGGAGGUUAGUGCAAUGGCAUAAGCCAGCUUGACUGCGAGCGUGACGGCGCGAGCAGGUGCGAAAGCAGGUCAUAGUGAUCCGGUGGUUCUGAAUGGAAGGGCCAUCGCUCAACGGAUAAAAGGUACUCCGGGGAUAACAGGCUGAUACCGCCCAAGAGUUCAUAUCGACGGCGGUGUUUGGCACCUCGAUGUCGGCUCAUCACAUCCUGGGGCUGAAGUAGGUCCCAAGGGUAUGGCUGUUCGCCAUUUAAAGUGGUACGCGAGCUGGGUUUAGAACGUCGUGAGACAGUUCGGUCCCUAUCUGCCGUGGGCGCUGGAGAACUGAGGGGGGCUGCUCCUAGUACGAGAGGACCGGAGUGGACGCAUCACUGGUGUUCGGGUUGUCAUGCCAAUGGCACUGCCCGGUAGCUAAAUGCGGAAGAGAUAAGUGCUGAAAGCAUCUAAGCACGAAACUUGCCCCGAGAUGAGUUCUCCCUGACUCCUUGAGAGUCCUGAAGGAACGUUGAAGACGACGACGUUGAUAGGCCGGGUGUGUAAGCGCAGCGAUGCGUUGAGCUAACCGGUACUAAUGAACCGUGAGGCUUAACC
rnacentral:rRNA from 1 species